rnacentral:rRNA from 1 species
UGCGGUUACCCUGUAGUUACCCUGGAAGCGUUUACCCUAUAGGUGUUUACCCUGUAGGGGCUUACCCUGGAGCUACCCUGUAACCGGCCAACGGCCCGCCGAAGGACCACUAAACUCUGUUUUUACCCAAGUGUAUCUCUGAAUGCUUAAACUAAAUAAGUUAAAACUUUCAACAACGGAUCUCUUGGUUCUGGCAUCGAUGAAGAACGCAGCGAAAUGCGAUAAGUAAUGUGAAUUGCAGAAUUCAGUGAAUCAUCGAAUCUUUGAACGCACAUUGCGCCCAUUAGUAUUCUAGUGGGCAUGCCUAUUCGAGCGUCAUUUCGACCCUUAAGCCCUGUAGCUUAGCGUUGGGAGUCCGCUAUUUUUAGCGGCUCCUUAAAGUUAUUGGCGGAGUUAUAGCAUACUCAAGGCGUAGUAAUUUUUAUCUCGCUUCUGUAGUGGCCCUAACUGUUAGCCAUAAAACCCCUAUAUUUUUCUAGUGGU